rnacentral:lncRNA from 1 species
CUGUCUCCUUUAUGCAAGGAGUGAGAGUGGAGCAAAGACAUGGGGUGUUGGAGUUAUUUAGGUGACAUUAAAGGCAGAGCACGUGUGGACCAGGGAGAACGCUGAGCUCUGUCUUGGGUUCCCAGCGGUCUGUGCACACUGCGUAGGAAACUUGGGUAACUGAGGAAGGAAGAUGUCUCCACCGAAGAGCUGAAACUGUGAGCCUGCUCCAGGAGUCAGCCGCAUGCCUGCCUCCUGGUGAAUUUUCUUCUUGAUAGGGCACCACUGGCGUAGUCAGAGCCUACUUGUUUUAAGUGUUUGUGGAAUAUGCACACUGCUGCCAUAGGGUCUCUGUUUAGAUGCCUUGGAAAAAAUCUAGCCUUGUGUCAAGGUGUUGUGCGUCUCACUUCAAGCUUCAGUCCUGGAGUUACUGUGCCAAAGUACUAGUUUGAUUCUUAUGCACAGGGUUUGCCUUUGUUUUGCGGACCUGGUAUGGGCAAGAUGAUACUGGGUAGACAAAGCAUGAGGCUAGAGCAGGCUCCAAAGUUGGCAUGGAGAUGCCAAGUUUCAGGCAUGUUUUGGCUUGAAUUAAGCGAACUAUUAAUUUAAAAACCAGCAGCAAAUCCCCUGGCAGCCUUAAUCAAACACAACCCUGCAAUGGUCUCAGUCACAACAGCGCUACCAAGAACAGAAACAAAAAGCAGAUGAAGGUUCUUGUACAUUGAAAGCGUCUCCUCUUUUCUGAAGUUUAGCAGUUGACCUAAUAAAAGAUACUCCCUCAAGAAAAUUGUAAAGAAAAAGAAAGAUUUAGCAGCUGUCGUCUGCCAGUGAUUUUGUAGGCCUAAUACAGGAUAUUAAUCUCUUCUGGAAAACUGACUUGGUUUUGAUUUUUCAGGAUCUAUAUUUCAGCUACUAGAUAAGGAUUUGGAGCUGAUGACAAGUCUGUGCUGCAAGACUUCAUCUACUAAGCAAAGUUGGGCCCACAUGGCCCAACUCCUAGCCUGGGAGGAGGGACAUGAGUGCUGUUCUGUGCAUGGGACCUCAGGUGUCUGCAGAGAACGACUGUGGAAGAGUCAAAGACUUGCCUUAGGGACUUGAAUCCAAACUUGUGGCCACAAAGGUAGGAGGAAGUAGGGGGAUGUGUGUGAGAUGCUGCACCAGGAGGU